GCCUACGACCAUAUCACCCAGAAUGCGCCUGAUCUCGUCUGAUCUCGGAAGCUAAGCAUGGUCGAGCCUGAUUAGUACUUGGAUGGGAGACUGCCUGGGAAUACCAGGUGUUUUAGUCU
rnacentral:rRNA from 1 species